rnacentral:lncRNA from 1 species
GGAACAUGUCCUUGAGACAUUAGCAGGAUGCAGAAAUAACAUCUUAGAUGAAUUCAUUCAUUCUACACUUUGGGAUAUUACCUCCAAAGGGGGUGCUUUGAUUAUUAAUUGUGUCUCGCCGUAUCCACUUUGUAGCAGCAACAGCUUCUGUUCACCUGCCAGCACAAAGCGCAGCCCGGCGGCCGCAUUCACAGGUUCCCCCUGUUCUAAUCGGCCCUCAUUGCGAGCAGCCAAAGCAGCUCCUCGCUGGACGCGACGCCAAAAAAAGAGUCUCGCUGUGUUGAUGUGAUGAAACCAGGACGAAGGGAAGCCGGCGUUUUGCCCCGGCGUCACGCCCCGCCACUCCUUCCCUCCAGACGUCUUCAAUUCUUCUUUGCAUCAUGUGAGGUCCCCACGGAGAAGAGUGCACCGAGAUUGAGAAAAUGUAUUUCUCCAGUUUCUGAUGGGAAGUGAAAGAAAAGGCUGGUUAUUUCCUGGUUUCCAAGAAAUUGCAUUAGGCCCAUUCUGCACAUCUGCUGACCGACACACCGCCGCCCUUUUGGAUGCUCAUUCUAAAAGCUAGUGCAAUCAGGUGACUUGGUUACCACUGUGGACUUGAAAGUCACCUUUCAGCGCUUUGAUGUUGCAGGCAGGGAAUGGACACGUGUAUGGAGGCAGACACACAGAAACAUACAGACACACUGGAGCUUCAUUAUUUGCCUGCUUGUCGGAUUGUGUAAGGAUCUUCAGAAACAAAAAUGCAAGUCCAGCUGCCCCCUGAACAGACCCUCAGACAGAGCAUAUGGAGUUCUGGUACGCUACUGGAUGCACACUGAAAUAGGAAUCGUUUUGCUUUCCGACACAAUCCUCUUUUUAUUGCUAUUUAGACGGGCAAUAUUUCUCCGAGUCUACAGGAAUUAGCCGAGGAUGUGGCCGAUGAGUGGGAUGCUAUGCCCUGCCCUUUGACCCCGCCGCAGGCCUGAGGACAGCACGCCACAACGCCUUAACCCAUUGAUCUGUGCUCAAUAUUAGUGACAUUUUGAAAAGUAAUAUUGGACUGUGUUCCACAUAAAUUCUCC